AACCCACCUUUCGCUUUACCAGUUGGACUUCUUUCUUGGUUAUUCCGGGGGAGCAAAGGAAAUACCCUUUUAAAACUCAAGCAGACUGGGUGUUUGUCUUGUAACCUGUCAGAGGAAACAGAC